rnacentral:rRNA from 1 species
GACGAACGCUGGCGGCGUGCUUAACACAUGCAAGUCGAACGGAAAGGCCCUGCUUGCAGGGUGCUCGAGUGGCGAACGGGUGAGUAACACGUGGGUGAUCUGCCCUGCACUUCGGGAUAAGCCUGGGAAACUGGGUCUAAUACCGGAUAGGAGCCAUUUUUAGGGUGAUGGUUGGAAAGUUUUUUCGGUGUAGGAUGAGCUCGCGGCCUAUCAGCUUGUUGGUGGGGUAAUGGCCUACCAAGGCGGCGGCGGGUAGCCGGCCUGAGAGGGUGGACGGCCACAUUGGGACUGAGAUACGGCCCAGACUCCUACGGGAGGCAGCAGGGGGGAAUAUUGCACAAUGGGCGCAAGCCUGAUGCAGCGACGCCGCGUGGGGGAUGACGGCCUUCGGGUUGUAAACUCCUUUCGCUAGGGACGAAGCUUUUUGUGACGGUACCUAGAUAAGAAGCACCGGCUAACUACGUG